rnacentral:snRNA from 1 species
GUACUCACUUUGGCAGGACAUAUGGAACAAUAUAGAGAAGAUUAGCAUGGCCCCUGUGCAAGGAUGACAUACAAAUUUGUGAAGUGUUUCAUAUUUUU